rnacentral:misc_RNA from 1 species
CGUUCUAGUGUCGCGUUCUAGUGUCGCUUUGGAAAAGUUCUUGUAGUAAUCCGUCCCAAUGUCGCUAUGCCAGUAUAUAAAAGCUCUCAGUCGCCAUCUAUGAUCAGUUUCAUUGACAACGUCAUUCGUCAUUCUAUUUUAAAGUUAUCGUGUGGUCCUGUGGGGCAUCAGAUUUUACAGUCAUCUGUCAUACUUUACAGUCAUCAUACUAGUCCAUCGGCUUGUCUCUUGAGGCAGGCUAGCUUAUCGCCCGAACCAGAAGAUGGUGACAAGGAUGUCGAUGUUGAUCUCUAUCAAGCCGCUGUUCUGAUUUUGGCUCAUUUGGAUCGAUUAGCAUCUCCAUUUAUUCAAACAUUCAAAUCGGAUCGCGUAGUUAUGGAAAAUACUUUAAUUCGAUUGGAUUUGAGCGCCGCUACGGUGGACCCGGGUGGACCGUUUCACAGUAGUCCAGAAACUUCCAAUAACGAUAGAUCAAGUUGUCUGCACAGCCCUUGGUCUCCUGUUUCUUUCCGGCGAUGGCAAAGUUUUCAAAGGAUUUUGAGUCACGGAGAUCAAGUGGGCAUUGAUGUUGGGCAUCACGGCUGCUCCUUACCUGUGUUGCAGCGUUUGAAGAACCACGUUAUUGCUCUUGCAGGGGAAAUCCAAAUCUGGGUGCCGUACAAGAUACAGCUCAAGCUUUUCUCCAAUUGGCUUGGAGUCUUCUUUUGCCUACUGCUUCAGAAAGAGCUUCAGCAUUGCCCACACUUUUGCAAAGAGACGACGAAUAUGAUAGUUGUGGUGGACGUUUCAUGGCCGAUUUAUUGGUGAUUUCCAUGAUGGCGGACGGAGGGUUACAAGCAGCUUUCGAAGCUUCGUUGCUAGCUGAAGCAAAUGAUCUUGAGAUAAACGGCCGAUGCAAUAACGACGCGGUAUUGAGAAUAGGGGAUGGCGCAAAAAAAUAAAAAAAAUAAUAAAACAUACUAUAAAUAAGAGAAAAAAAAAAAAAAUAUCUCCCAAUCAUACUAUAGCUGGGAAAAAUUUACUUUUCGAGUUAUUCACGUUGAAAGUUUCGACUACGUGGCCCACCUCUAAAACGCAGGAGGUGGCCUAUUUAUCACGUGAUUCUUGGUGCAUUACCGCUGGUCAGUUUUAACCAAUGAGAAUAGAUCACGUGAUCGGGGGAACCAAUAGAAGCGGGGAACAUCUGUCAUUUCGUCUGUGUCCGCAAGGUGUCGCGUCAAGCUUGUAGCAAUCUAGUUUUUUUACCGCCAUGUGGUAAAAGAAUGAAAAGUUGUUUUCAGGGAUACGCAUUCUAUUGGCUGUUGCCGGUCACGUGAUCUGCUCCCAUUGUAAAAACUGACCAGAGCUAAGCUAAAACUGGCAGAGCCAGGGAGUCGAAACUUUAAACGUGAAUAACUCGUAAAGUAAAUUUUUCCCAGCUAUAGUUUGAUUGGGAGAUAUUUUUUAUUUAUUUUUUCUCUUAUUUUUAAUAUGUUUUAUUAUUUUUUUUAAUUUUUUGCGCCAUCCCCUAUUCAGACAGCAUGGAGCCGGAGGAAACCGUUUACUUUCUAAAAUUCUAAAAAAUGAAACCAUAACCUUUCGGCAUCCGAUAAUGGCUUAUGCGGUGGCUACUCAAGCUGAAGAUUGACGUAAAGGUCUGAAAUUACAAAAAAAAUUAUAAUUGAAAUAUGUAAGAGUGGAUGAUUAAAUAGUUACCUUCCCACAAUAAUCACAUGCGAGAAUGGGUGAGUUGGGACAAACUUCAACGCUGGAACUAGGAAUUCUAAAGAAUAAUCCGUCCCAAUGUCGCUAUGCCAGUAUAUAAAAGCUCUCAGUCGCCAUCUAUGAUCAGUUUCAUUGACAACGUCAUUCGUCAUUCUAUUUUAAAGUUAUCGUGUGGUCCUGUGGGGCAUCAGAUUUUACAGUCAUCUGUCAUACUUUACAGUCAUCAUACUAGUCCAUCGGCUUGUCUCUUGAGGCAGGCUAGCUUAUCGCCCGAACCAGAAGAUGGUGACAAGGAUGUCGAUGUUGAUCUCUAUCAAGCCGCUGUUCUGAUUUUGGCUCAUUUGGAUCGAUUAGCAUCUCCAUUUAUUCAAACAUUCAAAUCGGAUCGCGUAGUUAUGGAAAAUACUUUAAUUCGAUUGGAUUUGAGCGCCGCUACGGUGGACCCGGGUGGACCGUUUCACAGUAGUCCAGAAACUUCCAAUAACGAUAGAUCAAGUUGUCUGCACAGCCCUUGGUCUCCUGUUUCUUUCCGGCGAUGGCAAAGUGUACACAAUCAGCUAUAACGAUCAAGAACCGGGGAAAUCCAAAUCUGGGUGCCGUACAAGAUACAGCUCAAGCUUUUCUCCAAUUGGCUUGGAGUCUUCUUUUGCCUACUGCUUCAGAAAGAGCUUCAGCAUUGCCCACACUUUUGCAAAGAGACGACGAAUAUGAUAGUUGUGGUGGACGUUUCAUGGCCGAUUUAUUGGUGAUUUCCAUGAUGGCGGACGGAGGGUUACAAGCAGCUUUCGAAGCUUCGUUGCUAGCUGAAGCAAAUGAUCUUGAGAUAAACGGCCGAUGCAAUAACGACGCGGUAUUGAGAAUAGGGGAUGGUGC